UACGGGGGGGGCAAGCGUUGUUCGGAAUUACUGGGCGUAAAGGGCGCGUAGGCGGCCUGCUAAGUCGGACGUGAAAUCCCUCGGCUCAACCGAGGAACUGCGUCCGAUACUGGUGGGCUUGAAUCCGGGAGAGGGAUGUGGAAUUCCAGGUGUAGCGGUGAAAUGCGCAGAUAUCAGGAAGAACACCCGUGGCUAAGGCGGCUCUCUAGUACGGUACUGACGCUGAGACGCGAAAGCGUGGGGAGCGAACAGG
rnacentral:rRNA from 1 species